rnacentral:rRNA from 1 species
GGGAAGAACACCGGCGGCGAAAGCGCGCGACUGGGCUGAGUACUGACACUGAGGGACGAAAGCCAGGGGAAGCGAAAGGGAUUAGAUACCCCUGUAGUCCUGGGCUGUAAACGAUGACAACUAGGUGUUGCGCGUAUCGACCCGUGCACGUGCCGUAGCUAACGCGUUAAAGUUGUCCGCCUGGGGAGUACGCACGCAAGUGUGAAACUCAAAGGAAUUGACGGGGCCCGGCAC